GCCCCUCCCCCCGCCUUUUCCUCCAUCUCUCUUACUCUCUAUCCGAGCCUCUCCACCCGCUCAGCAGGGAGCGUUGUGAGUUUCUUUCGAACAAAGUUUAAAGAUCUCUGUUUGAACCCAAGCCAUCCGCAAUCAGACUGCAUUUCUAAUCCUCCCUCCCUCUCUCCCUCCCUCACACAUACACACACAGUCUGUCUCUUUCUCCCUUUCAGUCAAUCCCCUUCCUCUCUUGGUCCUACUCAAGCCUUUUCCCACCCCCGACUCUGCCUCGGCGAUGAGUCCGCUGUCUGGAUCCCUUUUCCCAGGCGUGGGCUGAGGACCCAGCGGUUCGGCAGCGGGGAUCAUCGCACGACGCUCCCGGACCCCUACAACCUCCUGUUCUCCAGCGGCCUCCAGCAUCACCACCGGGCUGGGAGCAGGCAUCCGGGCUGCCGGAGCGCUCGCUGCUCAGUGGCUCAGUCCUGCGCCGCCUUUGCCGGGAGCGGGGAUCCGAGGUGGGAGAAGGCCUCUUCGCCCGGCUCCUGGGCACAGCUACCUGCCUGAACAGCUGCCUGGCACCGAGCCUGCGCUCCCCGAGCACCCGGCCGCGGGUCCGCGACGCCUUCCGGGGCUGAGUAGCCGAAAACUAUCUCCUACUGCAAGAAUCUACCCCGGAAGAGAGAGCCCAGAGAAUUGCCCAAGCUGUCUGCAAACAGUCAAUUGACGUGAAGGAAAAUUGGGACCAAUUGAAAACCCAUGCGAGCAACUGGCAGAAACAGGUGGAAAAGGCGUUAGAGAAACUUCAAGAACCGCAGAAAGCUCUGGAUGAUCUUGAGUCUCAUGUGAUAACAGCUGAGGGGGUCCACACUGAUUGGCAACCUGUGAAUGACCUGUUUAUUGACGCAUUGCAGGAUCACAUUGAUAAAACCACAGGUAAGGACUGCCUGCAAAAUCUGAGAUUGGGUUUUGAAAGACAUCAACCUUUGCUUGCGAGAGAUAAUGGUAACUGCAGAUGCUAGAGAAUGCGAGAUAACAAUGUGUGGAGCUGGAUGAACACAGCAGGCCAAGCAGCAUCUCAGGAGCACAAAAGCUGACAUUUCGGGCCUCGACCCUUCAUGCGAGAGAACGUAACGUAAGAAAGAAGAACAGGACUAAGUAGUAUUAUCCUUCAAAGCCUUGUUGAGUUGAUUUGUCCUGUUUUGUUCCUUACUUUUACAUUUAUUAAAUCCACUUUUUUAAAAGCAUUCUUUCACAGGAUGAGGGCACUGCU